UACAGAGGGUGCGAGCGUUAAUCGGAAUUACUGGGCGUAAAGCGUGCGUAGACGGUUAUUUAAGUCGGGUGUGAAAGCCCCGGGCUCAACCUGGGAAUUGCAUUCGAGACUGAAUAGCUAGGGUACGGUAGAGGGAAGUGGAAUUUCCGGUGUAGCGGUGAAAUGCGCAGAUAUCAGGAAGAACACCCGUGGCGAAGGCGGCUCUCUGGGACGGUACUGACGCUGAGACGCGAAAGCGUGGGGAGCGAACAGG
rnacentral:rRNA from 1 species